CGAGAUCUACGGCCACGAGGACGUGAAGAAGGCGCUGCUGCUGCUGCUGGUGGGCGGCGUGGAUCGCAACCCCCACGGCAUGAAGAUCCGGGGAAACAUCAACAUCUGCCUCAUGGGCGACCCCGGCGUGGCCAAGUCGCAGCUCCUGUCCUACAUCGACCGCCUGGCACCCCGCAGCCAGUACACGACAGGCCGGGGCUCCUCGGGCGUGGGGCUGACGGCGGCCGUGCUGCGGGACCCGCUGACGGGGGAGCUGG